rnacentral:rRNA from 1 species
UCGGGAAUAUUGCGGCAAUGGAGGAAACUCUGACGCAGUGACGCCGCGUGCAGGAAGAAGGUUUUCGGAUUGUAAACUGCUUUAGACAGGGAAGAACAAAGACAGUACCUGUAGAAUAAGCUCCGGCUAACUACGUGCCAGCAGCCGCGGUAAUACGUAGGGAGCAAGCGUUAUCCGGAUUUAUUGGGUGUAAAGGGUGCGUAGACGGUAAUGCAAGUUAGUUGUGAAAUCCCUCGGCUUAACUGAGGAACUGCAACUAAAACUACAUUUCUUGAGUAUUGGAGAGGAAAGUGGAAUUCCUAGUGUAGCGGUGAAAUGCGUAGAUAUUAGGAGGAACACCGGUGGCGAAGGCGACUUUCUGGACAAUUACUGACGUUGAGGCACGAAAGUGUGGGGAGCAAACAGGAUUAGAUACCCUGGUAGU